rnacentral:rRNA from 1 species
AAGCUCGUAGUUGAAUUUCGGGGUUAGUAGGUUGGUCAUGCCUCUGGUAUGUACUGGUCUCACUGAUUCCUCCUUCCUUAUGAACCGUAAUGCCAUUAAUUUGGUGUUGCGGGGAAUUUGGACUGUUACUUUGAAAAAAUUAGAGUGUUUAAAGCAAGCUAACGCUUGAAUACAUUAGCAUGGAAUAAUGAAAUAGGACGUUCGAUCUUAUUUUGUUGGUUUCUUAGGAUUGACGUAAUGAUUAAUAGGGAUAUUGGG